CAGUUUUCUUUUGCUAGAGUCCGCUUGUUUCAGCAGAGCUGAGAGCUGAAGGACUGUAAUCUUGCCCUUUUCGUGACUCACAGCCAGGUGCUGCCGACGUCCAUGUGGGGAUGACAGCACACACAUUGCCACACGUCUCAGCACAUGUGCACUGAUCAGCUGCCGGAUGGUCUGGCCCUGAUCACCGCUGUAGUUCAUGCGGACGUUCUCAAACGCGCCCUCUUGGGAGCCAAGAGUUGGGACCAUCAACUGAUCUGUCAUUUCUACUGACUUGUCCAAUGUAUGCA
rnacentral:lncRNA from 1 species